AUGCCCAAGAGAAAGGCUGAAGGGGAUGCUAAGGGAGAUAAAGCCAAGGUGAAGGACGAACCACAGAGGAGAUCUGCAAGAUUAUCUGCUAAACCUGCUCCUCCAAAACCAGAGCCUAAGCCUAAAAAAGCCCCUGCAAAGAAGGGAGAGAAGGUACCCAAAGGGAAAAAAGGGAAAGCUGAUGCUGGCAAGGAUGGGAAAAACCCUGCAGAAAAUGGAGAUGCCAAAGCAGGCCAGGUACAGAAAGCUGAAGGUGCUGGAGAUGCCAAGUGA